AGGGUUUGAUCAUGGCUCAGGAUGAACGCUAGCGGCAGGCCUAACACAUGCAAGCCGAGGGGUAAGUCUCUUUCGGGAGAACACGACCGGCGCACGGGUGAGUAACGCGUAUGCAACCUACCUUUGGCACGGGGACAGCCCGGGGAAACCCGGAUUAAUACCCGGUAUAGUCUAUUAUACACCUGUAUAAAAGACGAGAGCUACGGCGGCCAAAGAUGGGCAUGCGUGCCAUUAGUUAGUUGGUAGGGUAACGGCCUACCAAGGCAUCGAUGGCUACGGGGUCUAAAAGGAUGAGCCCGCACACUGGUACUGAGACACGGACCAGACUCCUACGGGAGGCAGCAGUGAGGAAUAUUGGUCAAUGGGUGGAAGCCUGAACCAGCCAUGCCGCGUGCAGGAAGACGGCCUUAUGGGUUGUAAACUGCUUUUCUACGGGACGAACGGCUCUGACGUGUCAGAGAUUGACGGUACCGUAGGAAUAAGCAUCGGCUAACUCCGUGCCAGCAGCCGCGGUAAUACGGAGGAUGCGAGCGUUAUCCGGAUUUAUUAGGUUUAAAGGGUGCGUAGGCUGGGCAAUAAGUCAGUGGUGAAAGUCCGCGGCUCAACCGUGGGAUUGCCAUUGAAACUGUUGUUCUUGAGUACAGUCGAGGUAGGCGGAAUGUGUAAUGUAGCGGUGAAAUGCAUAGAUAUUACCCAGAACACCGAUGGCGUAGGCAGCUUACCAGCUUGGAACUGACGUUGAUGCACGAAAGCGUGGGGAGCGAACAGGAUUAGAUACCCUGGUAGUCCACGCGGUAAACGAUGAUCACUCGCUGUUGGCAAUAUAGAGUCAGCGGCUGAGCGAAAGCAUUAAGUGAUCCACCUGGGGAGUACGUCGGCAACGAUGAAACUCAAAGGAAUUGACGGGGGCCCGCACAAGCGGUGGAACAUGUGGUUAAUUUCGAUGAUACGCGAGGAACCUUACCUGGGCUUAAAUGUAGCCGGACGAUUCCGGAAACGGGAUUUCCUUAACGGCUGGUUACAAGGUGCUGCAUGGCUGUCGUCAGCUCGUGCCGUGAGGUGUCGGGUUAAGUCCCAUAACGAGCGCAACCCUUAUUCUUAGUUGCCAGCGGGUAGAGCCGGGGACUCUAAGGAGACUGCCACCGUAAGGUGUGAGGAAGGUGGGGAUGGCGUCAAGUCAGCACGGCCCUUACGUCCAGGGCUACACACGUGUUACAAUGGCCGGUACAGAAGGCAGCAAACUUGAGAGAGGGCGCGAAUCCAUGAAAGCCGGUCUCAGUUCGGAUUGGAGUCUGCAACCCGACUUCAUGAAGUUGGAAUCGCUAGUAAUCGCGCAUCAGCAAUGGCGCGGUGAAUACGUUCCCGGGCCUUGUACACACCGCCCGUCAAGCCAUGGAAGCCGGGGGUACCUGAAGUCCGUAACCGCAAGGAGCGGCCGAGGGUAAAACUGGUGACUGGGGCUAAGUCGUAACAAGGUAACC
rnacentral:rRNA from 1 species